CUGCCCAAUGACAACAUAGUUCAAUGGCCGCGGUACCCUGACCGUGCAAAGGUAGCAUAAUCACUUGCCCCUUAAUUAGGGGCUGGCAUGAAAGGACACACGAAAGCUUCCCUGUCUCACAAUAACAAAUAAAAAUUAAUCUUCAAGUGAAAAAGCUUGAAUAAAAUUGCAGGACAAGAAGACCCCGUUGAGCUUUAUUCUCUAUAGACUAAAUCAAAUAUUAAAUACAUCAUAAACCUAAAAAGAAUUUAGUUGGGGUGACUAAGGAACACCGAAAACUUCCUUUUAUUAAUUAGGAUCAUUCUCCAUACAAAUUGACCCAUUAUACAUGAUCAAAAAAAUAAGCUACCACAGGGAUAACAGGCUAAUCUUUCUCAAGAGCCCAAAUUGUCAGAAAGGAUUGGCACCUCGAUGUUGGCUUAGGGGCCCCUAAUGGUGCAGAAGCCAUAAAUGGUA
rnacentral:rRNA from 1 species